rnacentral:rRNA from 1 species
CCCGCCGGCUCUCCGGCCGACUCGCUCGACGGUAUCAUUCGAGGCGCGGAGCCGCGACCCGUUCGCAUCCGACUGUCCGCAAGCGCGGCCGGUCUCCCGACUGUCGGAUCUGAUGCCGGCACCGGGACCGGUCGGCUGCUGGCGGGCAAGUUCUCGGAUAGACUCCGAUCUCACGCCUAUCGGCGACGCUAUAGCUUUGGGUACUCUCAGGACCCGUCUUGAAACACGGACCAAGGAGUCUAGCAUGUGCGCGAGUCAUUGGGACUUGAUUAAACCUACUGGCGAAAUGAAAGUAAAGGCCGCGCUCAGCGCGCGCCUAGGGAGGAUGGGAGGCGCACACAGUCGCCUCCCCGCACUCCUGGGGCGUCUCGUUCUCAUUGCGAGAUGAGGCGCACCGAGAGCGCAAAUGCUGGGACCCGAAAGAUGGUGAACUAUGCCUGGUCAGAACGAAGUCAGGGGAAACCCUGAUGGAGGUUCGUAGCGAUUCUGACGUGCAAAUCGAUCGUCGGAACUGGGUAUAGGGGCGAAAGACUAAUCGAACCAUCUAGUAGCUGGUUCCCUCCGAAGUUUCCCUCAGGAUAGCUGGCGCUCGUUUUACGAGUCUCUUCCGGUAAAGCGAAUGAUUAGAGGCAUUGGGGUCGAAACGACCUCAACCUAUUCUCAAACUUUAAAUGGGUGAGAUCUCCGGCUUGCUUAGAUGUGAAGCCGCGAGAAGAUCGGAUCA